GAGUUUGAUCCUGGCUCAGGAUGAACGCUAGCGGCAGGCUUAACACAUGCAAGUCGAGGGGUAACAGGGAUUGCUUGCAAUCCGCUGACGACCGGCGCACGGGUGCGUAACGCGUAUGCAACCUACCUUCUACAGGGGGAUAGUCAAUAGAAAUGUUGAAUAAUACCCCAUACGAUCUUUGAAUAGCAUUAUUUAAAGAAGAAAGUUCCGGCGGUAGAAGAUGGGCAUGCGUCCUAUUAGUUAGUUGGAGAGGUAACGGCUCCCCAAGACAUCGAUAGGUAGGGGUCCUGAGAGGGAGACCCCCCACACUGGUACUGAGACACGGACCAGACUCCUACGGGAGGCAGCAGUGAGGAAUAUUGGACAAUGGAGGCAACUCUGAUCCAGCCAUGCCGCGUGCAGGAGGACUGCCCUAUGGGUUGUAAACUGCUUUUAUACAAGAAGAAAUGUACCUACGUGUAGGUAUUUGACGGUACUGUACGAAUAAGGAUCGGCUAACUCCGUGCCAGCAGCCGCGGUAAUACGGAGGAUCCAAGCGUUAUCCGGAAUCAUUGGGUUUAAAGGGUCCGUAGGCGGUCUUUUAAGUCAGAGGUGAAAUCCUACAGCUCAACUGUAGAAUUGCCUUUGAUACUGAAGGACUUGAGUUAUUGUGAAGUAGUUAGAAUGUGUGGUGUAGCGGUGAAAU
rnacentral:rRNA from 1 species